rnacentral:rRNA from 1 species
UACGGGGGGGGUAAGCGUUGUUCGGAUUCAUUGGGCGUAAAGGGUGCGUAGGCGGCGCGGUAAGUCGGGUGUGAAAUCUCGGGGCUUAACUCCGAAACUGCAUUCGAUACUGCCGUGCUUGAGGACUGGAGAGGAGACUGGAAUUUACGGUGUAGCGGUGAAAUGCGUAGAUAUCGUAAGGAAGACCAGUGGCGAAGGCGGGUCUCUGGACAGUUCCUGACGCUGAGGCACGAAGGCCAGGGGAGCAAACGGG